ensembl:lncRNA
GGUGCUAUCCCUUAGUCAUGCUCCCAGGAUAUCCUGUGUGGGGACUCUUAUUUUAAGUAUGUUGGAAUAGCUCCACUUUCUCAAUGGUGGAAUUUUUCAAGUCUUGCCUCCGGCUCUCUUUUUCAAACACCAGUCAUUUCAAUAUGGUCAGGGCCUUUAUAGCAAUUUACUCCUUAGAGCAAAAUAUUUGGCCUAAAUACUCUGGGCUGUCAUGGUGUCUGGUCUAGGUGGAAGGACAGUUGCCGGCUCCUCGGGUUAAGUGAAUUCUUCCAUCUUCAUUUCUUCACAUGGAGCUCUGUCUGCUGCUGCUGUAAGAAAAAUGACACCGAACCUGGGAGGAAAGACAUGAGACAGAGAAAUGUAAUGAGCACUUGUCUUCCGGAUCAAAAGCAGCGUGGGCGUGAGCAUCAUCAGAGUCAUUCUAGCAGGCACAGGGACGCUCAUCCCGACUACAGAGCUGACUACUGUGUCCACCCCGGGAACGAAGUGUCCCAUUCUGGCUAAGCUCAGUGAGACAGGCUGCGGCGGGACCACGAUCGUCACCCGAGACAUGAGUCUAGCACACAGAGGAACCAAACAGGCACGGCCGGGGCUUCCAGCUUUGAUGGCCAACGUCUGCUCCUCUCGCUGCAGGACCCACUGCACAGCCUCAGAGGUUUGAAACAGCACAAGAAACUGGCUGUGGCUUGACAGGCUCCUAUGCUUCCAGGUCUCACAAGGCCGCAGACAAGGUGUCGGCUCGGUUUCGAUCUCAACUGAGGCUUGGCUGGAGAAGGAUUCACGCUCAAGCUUCCUCUGUUGUUGACAGAAUCCAAUUCCUUGCAGCCGUAGGACCAAGGGCCCCUUGUUCCGCUGGGUGUUAGCUGGUGGUCUAUGCAGGCUGUUGGCUAGGCCGCCCUCAACACCUAAAGGCUCCCCCAGUUCCCUGCUACCUGGAGGUCCCCAGGACCAAGGGCCCCUUGUUCUGCUGGGUGUUAGCUGGCGGUCUAUGCAGGCUGUUGGCUAGGCCACCCUCAACACCUAAAGGCUUCCCCAGUUCCCUGCUACCUGGAGGUCCCCAGCUUGGCUGCCUGCUUCCUCAGAGCUGGCCGUGGAGAGAAAGCGACCCCGGGGGGCUGCCCUUGGGGUUCAGGGGUUAAGAAACUGCCUACUAAGGCAGGUGACUGGGUCGGACCCCUGGUCUGGGAAAGUUCCAGACGCCACAGGGCAGCUAAGCCCAUGUGCCACAACCACUGAGCCCGCAAGCCGCGACGACUGCAGCAGGAGACGUUGGCACAGCGAGAAGCCGGAGAAUGGCAGCGCGUGAGGAGCCCCACCUGCUGCAACGAGCGGAGGCUGGGGCACAGCCACGGAGACGCGGCACACUCAAAGAUAAAUUAAAAAAUAAAAAUAACUU